rnacentral:rRNA from 1 species
CUAAGAAUAUUCCGCAAUGGACGAAAGUCUGACGGAGCGACGCCGCGUGGAUGCAGAAGGCCGCACGGUUGUAAAAUCCUUUUGCUGGGGAAGAAUACGUCCAGGAGGGAAUGCCUGGAUGAUGACAUGAACCGGCGAAUAAGCCCCGGCCAACUACGUGCCAGCAGCCGCGGUAACACGUAGGGGGCAAGCGUUGUUCGGAAUUACUGGGCGUAAAGGGCAUGUAGGCGGUUUAGUAAGCUUGGCGUGAAA